rnacentral:tRNA from 1 species
GCUCGAAGGGUGGGAUGCGAAGGACUUAAAAUCCUUUGGCCAGUAAUGGCUGUGCGGGUUCAAGUCCCGCUUCGAGUA